rnacentral:rRNA from 1 species
CAAAUGACUCUCAGCAACGGAUAUCUUGGCUCUUGCAACGAUGAAAGAACGCAA